UCCCAAGGGUUGAGCUGUUCGCUCAUUAAAGUGGCACGCGAGCUGGGUUCAGAACGUCGUGAGACAGUUCGGUCCCUAUCUGUUGUGGGCGUUAGAAGUUUGAGAGGGCCUGACUCUAGUACGAGAGGACCGAGUCGGACGAACCUCUGGUGUACCUGUUGUCGCGCCAGCGGCACCGCAGGGUAGCUACGUUCGGUUAAGAUAAGCGCUGAAAGCAUCUAAGCACGAAACUUGCCUCAAGAUGAGACUUCUUUAUAAGGGUCGUCAAAGAUGAUGACGUUGAUAGGUUAUAGGUGUAAAGUCAGUAAUGGCAAAGCCGAGUAAUACUAAUUACCCGUUAGCUUUCUUAUA
rnacentral:rRNA from 1 species